rnacentral:piRNA from 1 species
UUUAAUUCAAAAACUAACUUG